CCAGAUUUCCCACAAAAAAUGGGUAGAUUGUCUUCAAUUGACAAAUGCAACCUGUUAACAUGUAUGCUAGAGGAAAAUGUGUAAGAAGCUGUUAUGUUGGGGAUGAUGGGUUGUCAGCCUGCUUGGAAUAUUUUUUUUAAAAAAGGAUAUUUGAUAAGUUUUCAAAUUAAUAUAAACACUGUAUGUCUAACCCUCAAAUAGUGUUUGCCAAAAAUGCUUUGCAGGAGGACUUGACAUCAAAAAGUACAUCUAAAGAACAGGAGACCAGAAGGACGUGUGCAAGGCUUCCAGUUACCAUCAGUAAAUCCUGUGGCAUUUGGAAAGACAUCUAAUGAGAGUUAUGGAUCAUGGCCUCCCUUCCUGCUACUUUUCAAAAGAGAGACAGCACACGCGAGCAAGCAGGGGAGGGGCAGAGAGAGAGAGAGAAUCUCAAGCACACUCCAUGUCCAGUAUGGAGCCUGAUGUGGGGCUCGAUCUUAUGGCCUUGAGAUUGAUCAUGACCUGAGCCGAAAUCAAGAGUUGGACACUUAACUGACUGAGCCACCCAGGUGCCCUGGAAUAAAUUUCUUCAUUGUAGUGGUUAAGCACGUGGACUUUGAAGCCAGCAUCAAGCCUGGUUUCAAAGUGUGACUGUCUCCUAUUCUUCAUGCCUCAAUUUCCUCACUGUAAAAUGGAGAUUAUAAUAGUUCUUAUUUCACGAAAUUAUUAUGAGAAGUAAUGUGUCAAUGUUGAAAGGGUUUCAGGCAAUUACUGGUGUAUUGCUUACUAUUUCUUCUUUAAAACACAGUUUCAUGAAUGAUUUUUCAAGCAUAAAUAAGUUGAAUGUAGUACUGUGAUGAUUUAAUUGGUACCUCUGAUUGGAUAUUGAACCAUAAAGAAUGACUAUAUAUAUGAUAUUGGAAAGGAAUCUUGUGUUUGGAAGGUAUCUUCUUUCUUGACACAAGUAUUCUCUAGUGGCUUCAUAAGCAUCUUGGAGGAAAGCUAUAGGUUUUAAAUCAGUCUCUCAGGUUUUUAAAGACUCUUCAAAACAAUUUUGAAACUUUUCAGUUCAUUUUUACUAUGUUAGGUUUUAAAUCAUGUAAAAUGUGGAAUCGUAGAAAGAGUAAUAAAUAAUAAUAUUUUUGGUUGGCCUGUUGUAUCUCAAAUGGUGUUGAGAUAAUGCUUUUCCCUUCUUUGUGUGAGUUUGUUCAUGGGGAAAAGCUAGGAAGUAAUUACCUUGUGAUUCUUUGGGCCUUAGUUCAGUAAGAGGCAGAUUUCAUUGUCUUUACAUGUAUUUUAGUUGUAUCACAACUAAUAAUCAAAUUACAAAUACACAGUCAUGUAAUAUCUAACAUAUCAUGUCUAUAUGAUAUAAAAUAUUUCAUAUAUUUUAUGAAAAAUGCAAAAGCAAAAAUGGAUGACUGCUGAAUUUUGGAAGUGAAGAAAGACCAGUUCUGAGAGAAGGGCACUGAGGAACAGGGGAUAUUCUGAGAAUCUGUCACACCUCCUUCUCCUUGACAAGUGUCUGCUCUGGGAGACAGUCCUCAGGACAUUGGGGCAGUGGCAACAGCUAAGCAUC